rnacentral:rRNA from 1 species
AUUGAACGCUGGCGGCAGGCUUAACACAUGCAAGUCGAGCGGGGUGAUGGUGCUUGCACUAUCACUUAGCGGCGGACGGGUGAGUAAUGCUUAGGAAUCUGCCUAUUAGUGGGGGACAACAUCUCGAAGGGGAUGCUAAUACCGCAUACGUCCUACGGGAGAAAGCAGGGGAUCACUUGUGACCUUGCGCUAAUAGAUGAGCCUAAGUCGGAUUAGCUAGUUGGUGGGGUAAAGGCCUACCAAGGCGACGAUCUGUAGCGGGUCUGAGAGGAGGAUCCGCCACACGGGGACUGAGACACGGCCCAGACUCCUACGGGAGGCAGCAGUGGGGAAUAUUGGACAAUGGGGGGAACCCUGAUCCAGCCAUGCCGCGUGCGUGAAGAAGGCCUUAUGGUUGUAAAGCACUUUAAGCGAGGAGGAGGCUUACCUAGUUAAUACCUGGGAUAAGUGGACGUUACUCGCAGAAUAAGCACCGGCUAACUCUGUGCCAGCCGCCGCCGUAA